UGGGGAAUAUUGCACAAUGGGGAAAGCCCUGAUGCAGCGACGCCGCGUGAAGGAAGAAGUAUCUCGGUAUGUAAACUUCUAUCAGCAGGAAAGAAAAUGACGGUACCUGACUAAGAAGCCCCGGCUAACUACGUGCCAGCAGCCGCGGUAAUACGUAGGGGGCAAGCGUUAUCCGGAUUUACUGGGUGUAAAGGGAGCGUAGACGGAGCAGCAAGUCUGAUGUGAAAGGCGGGGGCUCAACCCCGGCAGCAUCGCAUUGGGAAAACUGUUGAUCUUGAGUACCGGAGAGGUAAGCGGAAUUCCUAGUGUAGCGGUGAAAUGCGUAGAUAUUAGGAGGAACACCAGUGGCGAAGGCGGCUUACUGGACGGUAACUGACGUUGAGGCUCGAAAGCGUGGGGAGCAAACAGGAUUAGAUACCC
rnacentral:rRNA from 1 species